GAAAAUGUCUCCAGAGUCAACUUACCUAAAAAAUACAAUGCUCUGACAGUCUUGUACCAAAAAAUCAACGUGCCUUAGUCAUUCGAUAGAUGCAAGCUACUAGGAUGAAUAUAUCAUCCUGUUCCUCAAGUAUAUCAUGGAUCAAAACACACUGUUAUUUCUCUGAAGGUACUGAGUUUCUAAAUGAGGUGGUCAUAACCAAAGUAUUUAUGCUUACUUACUUUUUUGUUAGAUCAAAGGUUCGCCUCACAGAGUGGUUCCCUUUGCAGGGUGAUCAGAAAAUGAGGAUGGAUUUUGCUACAGUAGGCAGAUUUAAACAGAGCUACUGAUUCAGCUUAAUUUAGCAGAAAGGUCCCUAUUCAAGAUUUCCCUUCGUGGCCACCUGAUGGUUGUGUUUUUCAAACUUGUUUCCUCUGCUGCAUUAGCCACGACACCUCCAUGAGCACUGGAGACCAGAGGAGCUUUCCCAUCACCAGACCCAGCAUAAGACUCAGCACAGACCUCUACAUUCUUCAGUCAGCAUUGAGCACUGGGAGCCCUGCUGACUUGUUUCUGUGGGCAGACUGGGAUGCACAAGGGAUUCUGCAGUAUCUGGAUAUGACAGAAGACUUUGAAAGGCAGCCUUGCAAAUUUUUCGUUUGGUAUGGUUUUAUACAAAACCAUCUGUGUUUUCAUAUAUAUAGGUCAGAAAAGUAAGUCUGUCUACAUGAGUUAGCACUCAGAUCACAGAAGCAUUGCUAAAGGAUCAGCAUCAGCCUAUGAGAGGCAGAUAUCAGCUCAGAUACCUUUAAAUAUGUGAAUAAUCUCUAAUUCAACAUUGCUUUGAUGCACUAAAUUCUGGCAACUAAUUGGGAAAACCUCUGCGCAAUGCUUGGAGGUGUUUCAAGACUUCCAGGAGUGAAACCUAAGGAGACUUAGACUCUUAAAUCAUGUUGUGGCUUCUGAAGAUGUCACAGUCAUGCUGGGAAACAGCAAUAAAAUUUAAUGGAAAAGAUAGUUCCACAUCACUUUCUGUGGUGUACAAAGACUGCCCUCAGAGCCUUGUAGCUGCACAGGACCAACUCUUGCCAUUUGCUGAAGCUGUCGUUCAGAUAUGGGUCUGUGCUGUUCCAGUGGGGAUCAGGUCUUCUGUCCACAGGUACAUAUGAGUUAAAAGACAACCAUGGAAUGCUAAAUCUGCUGCCAACAGGCUGAAAUCCACUGUGUAAGGAUUGGCAUCUCAGCUGGAGGUCAUCAGCAUGUACUUUGCUACCUAUCAUCAAGUGCCUUCAUAGCUUCACAAAGGUAUUGUAUUAGAGAACAUCUGCAUGAAACCUUGGCACUGCUAAAGUCAACAAGAGCUUUGACUGUAAUUUUUGAAGUCUUUAUCUGCAAUACUACUUCAUUUUUUGAAGGUCAGCUGAAAGGGCUGGGUAGUUUUAUGCUUACAUGGUAACAUGAAAAGAAUGACAAGGCUGAAAAGCUUAAUGAUAGUUAAUUUAGGGGCACUAUUAAGGCUGAGUAAAAGUCAGUAUUUAGAGAUAUAAGUUGAUGAAUUAAUUUCUUGAAAAUGGUAGAAUUACUGUAGUAUCAGAAUAAUUGUAUUUUAUAAUAGUUUUUCAGAAAAUGUCUGUUCUGGGACAGAAAGAAAAUUCAUAUGUUGUUUUUAAGCUUUCACAUAUUUUAUAUUAUAAAUCUGCUCUCCACAUUAAUUUUCUUGCAAUUACAUUUAGCAGCUUCUCUUUUUUUGUAUCAUUCAAAAUAAACCCUAUCAAUGCUCUUCAUACUUUCACUGGACAUAAGGACACAGUUUGAUGUCUGUGGCUGAGUAAAUAGUUUUUUCAAUGCCCCUUGUUUGGUGACUGGUGUCCUGUUAUACAAAAGGAUUGUGAGCUAGGAUGAAUUUUCUUUGCAGAGCAGAUGGAAAUUACUGAGUUUUCUGACAUUCAGGAGGGACUGCAGAGAUGUGUAUGCAUAUAUGACCUACUUUUGUAUGUGCAACCUGCAUUUAAGGAGAGCAGACAUACAAGUUGCCAGCUCUGGUGAGGCUGUGGAAAGGACCCAGCCAGAGUCAGACUGUAAGUCCUGAGUCCUCAGACUUUAUGUAAUAACUAGAAUAUAACCUGCCCCAUAGCCAUGGACUAUAUUUCUUUGGAUAGAUGCAACAAUUUGAAAUAAUUACAUGAAGUAUCUAAAGACCGUGUUCACGUCGGGUUAAACACAGACAAAUGGAGACUCACUUUGCUGGGAGGACUCUGUGUCUGUGCCACUGGAGGAUACUUCCCUCACAGCAUUGCACCUUUUGCUGAGAUACAGCUCCUGAAUCGAUUCAGCUGCGUGUUAUAUAUAAAAAGACAUGUGAUUUUGGCUUAGCUUGCUAGCUGCAAGAACAGUGUCACCAACCAUAAUAAACAAACUGUCUCGCCCAGCUUAAAGAUGCCAUUGUAUUUUCUCUCCACUGCUGUUGAGAGCAGAAGGAAAAGAGGAAGGCCUGAAAUCUGGAAAGGCACAGAGGAAACAAGAAGAAUAAGUCUCUAGAGAGAGGCAAAAAAGCUACAGAACAUUUGUAACAUGGCUGCCACCAAGUCUGCUACUGCUAUCAAAGCCAGGCAGAGGGUGAAGGAAGGGACCACAAAAGGAUGACAAGGUCCAGGGAAGAUAUCCUGGGCCAGAUGCAGAAGGACCUUUUUUCUCCCAGGACCCAGCACGCCUCAUCUCCUGCUAUCACCAAUGUGUGUCCCUCCCACCUCCCUCCUGGGAGGGAAAGCAGUGUGAAAGCAGGCAGUGAGGCCACCUGGAUGCCUGCUCAGCAUGGAUGCCCACCAUAAUUGGAGGAAGAACAUGCCCUUAGCUACUGACAGACCUGGAAACCCAUGGAGGACAGCAGCAGCUGUAACAGGGCGCAGCAGCAUCCUCUGUGUGCACUGCCAGGCUGUCAGGAGGGAUGCUCAGAGAGGCACCAGGAGCGCCUCGCUCCCCGUAUGAGUACCCUGGAACAAGAAGGACACAGAUUUGGUUUGCCAUCCCAGCACGCUGAUGGCAUCUCUGGUGGCCAGUAAAAUACCGAGAGGGCCACUAGAGGGCUCAGAAAGUGCUGCUGAGGAGACAUCCAAAUCCCCUAAAACUGCCAUGCGCUGCAACGCGGUCAUCGCUGCAGCACACAUCCGUGUGAUUUACUGCCGUGUUUACUCCACUGACCACUACCAGCAAUAAAUGGCAUCUGCAAAAUAUCUUCUUGUGGGCUUGACACAUCAGUCUGUUUACUCAGUGAUGCAUGUCAGCAUCAUCAAGUCGUAUCUGCAAGAGCAGGGCAUUAAUUGUUACUGAAACUGAGUCUUCAGAAGUUGAAAGCAUUUACUCAAGGAGUGAAUGAAGUCCAAAUUGCCACCUACAGGGGAUUUCCCAUUUUGGAAAAAAUUUUACUUUCAUCUUACUGAAAAAAGAGAGAUAAUAAUUUACUGAAUACUUCAAAGGUAAUACAAAAGGGAAUUAUGUCACAGUUUCAGGUUAUAUUGUGCGCAGCUUGUCUGUGUUUCUCGAUCACUGAAUAAAAAGGCAAGCUGUUCCUCAUGUUGAAGUUGCUGAUUUCUGCAAUAUAUUUUUUUUGCACAGCCUGUGAAAGCUGUUCAAAAGCAUCUUAGCUGAAGUGUAUUCUGUCAUUAAAACAUAAAUAUUUUGCAGGAGUGUUUCAGUUUAAACAAAAUAAGAGAUGAAAUAAAAGUCUUAAGAUUUGAUCAUGUUAUUUUUUUUAUAUUGACUACUAGCUCACUGACUGUACCAAAACACCUCCACUGAAUAACUGCUUUUUCUGAGAUUCUUUAUGGGCCCUAAUGUGCUGAGUUCAGACACAUACUAAUGUGAAGUAAUAUACCUUUCAAAUGCAAAAAAAAAUCUUUCACAUAAGAAAACUGCAUUACCUGAUGUAGUCCUAUUUAUUCUCACUAUUUAAGUAAUAAAUUUAAAGUACAGAGCUCAUAGUUCAUGUUCUUGUGGUCACUUAUCCACCUAUAAAACAAAGCAUUGUCUAAGCAGCAUCAAAUUCCUGCUUUAUUCUGCAGAGAUGGUGCUCGUGUUUACUUUCAUUUUAAAUAUAGUAGUGAAUUUUAUCAUAAAGACAUCAUAACACAGUUAAAGAAUGUCAAGAAAGGCAAGUUUAUCAGUGUAAGCCAUAUGAUCUUAUUUUAUUGCCCUUAAAGUAAACACUGAGAUGUGCAAUGGUAUCCAUUUCACUUCUUUCUAUGAAGCGUGUAGGUAGGCAUAACACAUUUAUCAAAUUAGCUGAAUUAAAUGAACAUACUGUCAGACAAACAGUUCUUAUCUCAGUCUAACAAUAUUAUAUCAAAAACCCCCAAAUUCUAACCCAGGGGUUUUGACCCCUUUUUGGCAGAGCUGAUGGAGAUACUGUGUGCUCAAAAGUUUCUCCUAGUUUUUGCAGAUGUUU